rnacentral:rRNA from 1 species
UUGUUGGUAAGGUAAAGGCUUACCAAGGCUUCGAUCAGUAGCUGGUCUGAGAGGACGGCCAGCCACACUGGGACUGAGACACGGCCCAGACUCCUACGGGAGGCAGCAGUGGGGAAUUUUGGACAAUGGGGGAAACCCUGAUCCAGCCAUGCCGCGUGAGUGAAGAAGGCCUUCGGGUUGUAAAGCUCUUUCAGCCGGAACGAAACGGUUACGGAUAAUACCCGUGACUACUGACGGUACCGGAAGAAGAAGCACCGGCUAACUACGUGCCAGCAGCCGCGGUAAUACGUAGGGUGCGAGCGUUAAUCGGAAUUACUGGGCGUAAAGCGUGCGCAGGUGGUUUUGUAAGUCAGAUGUGAAAGCCCCGGGCUCAACCUGGGAACUGCGUUUGAAACUACAAGACUAGAGUGUGGCAGAGGGGGGUGGAAUUCCGCGUGUAGCAGUGAAAUGCGUAGAGAUGUGGAGGAACACCGAUGGCGAAGGCAGCCCCCUGGGUUAACACUGACACUCAGGCACGAAAGCAUGGGGAGCAAACAGGAUUAGAUACCCUGGUAGUCCAUGCCCUAAACGAUGUCAACUAGUUGUCGGGCCUUUACGGGCUUGGUAACGUAGCUAACGCGUGAAGUUGACCGCCUGGGGAGUACGAUCGCAAGAUUAAAACUCAAAUGAAUUGACGGGGACCCGCACAAGCGGUGGAUUAUGUGGAUUAAUUCGAUGCAACGCGAAAAACCUUACCUACCCUUGACAUGUAUCGAAGCCCGCAGAAAAGCGGGGGUGCCCGAAAGGGAACGAUAACACAGGUGCUGCAUGGCUGUCGUCAGCUCGUGUCGUGAGAUGUUGGGUUAAGUCCCGCAACGAGCGCAACCCUUGUCAUUAAUUGCCGUCAUUUAGUUGGGCACUUUAAUGAGACUGCCGG